rnacentral:rRNA from 1 species
UACGUAGGGUGCACGCGUUGUCCGGAAUUAUUGGGCGUAAAGAGCUCGUAGGCGGUUUGUCGCGUCGGCUGUGAAAACCCGGGGCUCAACCCCGGGCCUGCAGUCGAUACGGGCAAACUAGAGUGCGGUAGGGGAGACUGGAAUUCCUGGUGUAGCGGUGAAAUGCGCAGAUAUCAGGAGGAACACCGGUGGCGAAGGCGGGUCUCUGGGCCGUAACUGACGCUGAGGAGCGAAAGCGUGGGGAGCGAACAGG